rnacentral:rRNA from 1 species
GAUGAACGCUGGCGGCAUGCCUAACACAUGCAAGUCGAUCGGGAAGGCGCGUCGGAGUACACGGGAGGCGGACGGCUGAGUAACGCGUUGGAACAGACCGUGCAGUGAGGAAUAAGACAGCUAAAUGAGAUCUAAUACCGCAUACGGUCAUCGGAGGAAAGCGUUUGUGCGCUGAAGGAGUUGCGUGCGUCAUAUUAGAUAGUUGGUGAGGUAAUGGCACACCAAGUCGAUGAUGUGUAGCUGGUCUGAGAGGAUGAUCAGACAGACUGGAACUGAGACACGGCACAGACUCAUACGGGAGGCAGGAGUGAGGAAUAUCGCAAAAUGCGCGAGCGCUUGAUGGAGCAAUGCCGCGUGCAUGAUGAAGGCACUCGGGUUGUAAACUGCUUUUAUAAGAGAAGAUUAUGACGGUAACUGAUGAAUAAGCGACGGCUAACUACGUG